rnacentral:lncRNA from 1 species
AUCGUUCCAUUUUCAUCCACCCUCGACAUUUGUAUAAUCUAUAUAUCCUUUCCCUCUAUUUACCUAUUAUCUUUAUCUAUAUACACCCUAAAACAUUAUCCAUACACACACUUAAACCCCUAUUUCCUAAACAUUCAUCUAUACACAAACCUAAAUCCCUAAACAUUCAUCUAUACCACACAUCCACAACCUAUACAUUCAUCUAUACAAUCGAUACACAUACAUCUUUACCAGCCGUUUACACACUAUACACAUACACAUACAUCACACACUUUACACCUAUACAUCCAUACUCACAUACGUCAUUUGCGUCUCGGCCUUCAAACAAGUUGAAUGUGAGGGAUCUCAGUCCACUUUCCCAUUCCUUCCUUUUUGUAACACACUUGAUUCGAGUUAAGUGUUCUUCAUAAACUGCAAAGUCAGAUGAAUAAUAAGAAUUUUAGUAACAAUGUGUUUAUUCCAAAUAAUACAUUGCCGAAAUAAAUGUAAAUAUAUUUCAGUUUUGUAUACUGUUAAAAGAAGAAGGAAUAGCAUCUUUUCGAGCCUAUAUAAAAAGGUAUACGUAUAACGCUCAAUCUAAACUAUUCUAUAAGGGAACUGAAAAAAAGGUAAAAGAACAAGGAAUGUUGAUUUUGUCUAUUUACAUUAUAACAACUAACAAUCAUUCCGAUGAAAAAUUACAUGUUUUUCUUAGGAAGAAACAGAGCAUGACAAAAUUUGUUAUAUCCACAAUUUACUUUCUUUUUUAUGGCAAAAUUGUAAACGUCCUCUAACAAAAAGCAAACAAAACGGAGUUCUAGAAUUCUUAAUUUCUUAUCAUUCCCCCCAACAUAUGCAAAUCUCUGAACU